rnacentral:rRNA from 1 species
GACGAACGCUGGCGGCGUGCCUAAUACAUGCAAGUUGAGCGAUGAAGCUUGGUGCUUGCACCAAUUUGAAGAGCAGCGAACGGGUGAGUAACGCGUGGGGAAUCUGCCUUUGAGCGGGGGACAACAUUUGGAAACGAAUGCUAAUACCGCAUAACAACUUUAAACAUAAGUUUUAAGUUUGAAAGAUGCAAUUGCAUCACUCAAAGAUGAUCCCGCGUUGUAUUAGCUAGUUGGUGAGGUAAAGGCUCACCAAGGCGAUGAUACAUAGCCGACCUGAGAGGGUGAUCGGCCACAUUGGGACUGAGACACGGCCCAAACUCCUACGGGAGGCAGCAGUAGGGAAUCUUCGGCAAUGGACGAAAGUCUGGCCGAGCAACGCCGCGUGAGUGAAGAAGGGUUUCGGAUCGUAAAACUCGGUUGGUAGAGAAGAACGUUGGUGAGAGUGGAAAGCUCAUCAAGUGACGGUAACUACCCAGAAAGGGACGGCUAACUACGUG